rnacentral:rRNA from 1 species
UACGUAGGGGGCAAGCGUUGUCCGGAUUUAUUGGGCGUAAAGAGCGUGUAGGCGGCUUUACAGGUCCGUUGUGAAAACUCGAGGCUCAACCUCGAGACGCCGGUGGAAACCGUAAAGCUAGAGUCCGGAAGAGGAGAGUGGAAUUCCUGGUGUAGCGGUGAAAUGCGCAGAUAGUCAGGAGGAACACCCGUGGCGAAAGCGGCUCUCUGGGACGGUACUGACGCUGAGACGCGAAAGCGUGGGGAGCAAACAGG